AGGGUUUUGGAGCACUUAGCAAUUAUUGUUCAAAGUCAAUGUUUAUAUGAGUGAUUUGGAUUUUUUAUAAUAUAAUAAAGGCUAGCAAUUUUAGCUAGUUCAUACAAUUGGUGUAACAUCUACGGUUGAAAACUUGAAAUUAUUUGGAUUAUUAGGUGUACUAAGUGUAUACAAAUUUUUGUGAUAAUCUAAAGGCGUAGUUUAGAGAUAUCUAGUUUUUAGCACAAGAGGGUUUUGAAAGGUGGCAAUUUGAGGUUGGGUAGGAUUUCUAUGAUAUUUGAAGAUUUAUUAGUCACAUUAAGGUGAAAAUUGGCAUGGUGUUGAAGGACUUGAAGAUCAAGCUACACAACAAUUUUGAGACAAAGAUAAUGGUUGGAAAGGGAGAAAUCAUUGCUGAGAAUUUUGCUUC
rnacentral:lncRNA from 1 species